rnacentral:tRNA from 1 species
UGGUGUAAUGGUAACACAGCAGAAUUUGACUCUGCAAUCCUAGGUUCAAUUCCAAUAGUCUCCACCA